rnacentral:rRNA from 4 species
UGGUAUACUUCAUCCAAAGCUAAAUAUGGACAAGAGACCGAUAGCAAACAAGUACCGUGAGGGAAAGGUGAAAAGAACUUUGAAAAGAGAGUGAAAUAGCGCUUGAAACCGUUAGGAGGAAAGCGAAUGGAGUUGCUAUACGACCGAGAUAUCUCAAACUGGCACGUAAGUUGGUUUCAGUGUAGUGAUCUCGUGUCUUCGUUCGUAGAAGACUGUCUAUCCUGGCGCGUGCUUAAAUCUCGAUAUCUUAUAUAUGGAAAAUUUAAAGGCUGUCCAGACGAACGUAUAACGACGGCUUCUAAUUUCUAGAAGAAUACUAAUCAUAGAAGUAACGUGCUUGCACGUUUAUUCUAUAUACUGUUCUUAGGACGGACGGAAGGGCUUCAUUCGACCCGUCUUGAAACACGGACCAAGGAGUCCAGCCUCCACGCGAGUGCUUGGGUGGCAAACCCUAGCGCGUAGUGAAAAUAAUGACGUAAACCUCUUUGUAAUUUUACAAAAAGUUUUAUGUUAAGGCGGGAAUAUGUUUAUGCACCGCCAUCCGACCGGCUUUCAUUAGUUUCUAAUGGUACCGGCUUGUGAUGGAGCGUGGAUGCUGGGACCCGAAAGAUGGUGAACUAUGCCCGAGUAGGAUGAAGCCAGAGGAAACUCUGGUGGAGGUCCGAAGGCGUUCUGACGUGCAAAUCGAUGCUCAAACUUGGGUAUAGGGGCGAAAGACUAAUCGAACCAUCUAG